rnacentral:rRNA from 1 species
UACGGGGGGAGCAAGCGUUGUUCGGAUUUACUGGGCGUAAAGGGCGCGUAGGCGGCCACCGCAAGUCGACUGUGAAAUCUCCGGGCUUAACUCGGAAAGGUCAGCCGAUACUGCGGGGCUAGAGUGCAGAAGGGGCAACUGGAAUUCUCGGUGUAGCGGUGAAAUGCGUAGAUAUCGGGAGGAACACCAAUUGCGAAGGCAGCUCGCUGGGACGUCACUGACGCUGAGACGCGAAAGCGUGGGGAGCAAACAGG